UUUCCGUAGGUGAACCUGCGGAGGGAUCAUUAGUGAAUUGAAUAUGUUAGCUUACCUUUUCGGAUUCCCUAGCAUCAAAUCAUAUCCAUAACACCUGUGAACUGUAAGGCUGUCUUGAAGACGAAAGUGAUUAGAGCGCCUGCCCAUUUUAUACAAACAUUAAAGUAACAAACGUAUUCUUAUUAUAAUCUAAUAAAACUUUCAACAACGGAUCUCUUGGCUCUC
rnacentral:misc_RNA from 1 species